rnacentral:lncRNA from 1 species
AGCCGCAAGGAUACCCGGGAGGUGAGAAAUGGGGAGGUUCAGGCGGAAAACAGCGGCUGUAGGACCGAGGGAUGGGAGCACUCAGGAAAUGGACCAAGGGGUUUGCAGAAGACCUCGACUGAGACUCUCUCUCUCUUCCCAUUAGGCGCUUCGAAGCUCUCUAUCCAGGGUCCCGAUGCCGGCCACGCCCAGGAGCCAGACAGAACUAACCUUGACCCAGAAAGCAGAGGCCUGAGUAGAACUGGGAGGAAGUGUGGGCCUGUGGAGCUCUAGAUUAUACAUGGGAAUUUUACCUUAAUAUAAUUGCAAGCCAACGUGUGUUACACUGCAGAUAGUUAUGGCCCACUGAACAGUCACAUUUAUCUUGUAUAUAAUUUUGUGAGAGUUCUAGAAGCCAGGAUGUUUAUGAACCUCUUUGAAUUCAUAUUCAAAGAUUGGAUAACUCAAUCUUCAAGGGCUUCAGUUUCUACUUUGGUGAAAGGAGAGGGUCAGAAUAAAUGAUCUUCCAGCA